rnacentral:rRNA from 1 species
CUACGUAGGUGACAAGCGUUAUCCGGAUUUACUGGGCGUAAAGGGCGUGUAGGCGGUCUUGCAAGUCAGAAGUGAAAUUCCUGAGCUCAACUCGGGCGCUGCUUCUGAAACUGCAGGACUUGAGUGCUGGAGGGGAUAGCGGAAUUCCUAGUGGAGCGGUAAAAUGCGCAGAUAUUAGGAAGAACACCGGUGGCGAAGGCGGCUAUCUGGACAGUAACUGACGCUGAGGCACGAAAGCGUGGGGAUCAAACAGGAUUAGAUACCCUGGUAGUCCACGCGGUAAACGAUGAAUGCUAGGUGUAGGGGGUAUCGACCCCUCCUGUGCCGGAGUGAACACAAUAAGCAUUCCGCCUGGGGAGUACGGCCGCAAGGUUGAAACUCAAAGGAAUUGACGGGG